AGCUAGCCUACACACCAACUUAACUAGACCUAAUAAAUCUAAUUUAUACUAUAAUUUCCAAUCAAAACAUUCUAAACCUUUCAGUAUGGGCGACAGAACAAUAACCUCAGCGCAAUAGCUUAUGUACCGCAAGGGAAAGCUGAAAAAGAAAUGAAACAAAUUAUUAAAGUACUAAAAAGCAGAGUUUACAUCUCGUACCUUUUGCAUCAUGAUUUAGCUAGAAAAAUUAGGCAAAAAGAUUUUAAGUCUACCUCCCCGAAACUAAACGAGCUACUCCGAAGCAGCAUUAUAGAGCCAACCCGUCUCUGUGGCAAAAGAGUGGGAAGACUUCCGAGUAGCGGUGAAAAGCCUACCGAGUUUAGUGAUAGCUGGUUACCCAAAAAAAGAACUUUAGUUCUGCAUUAAUUUUUUUCACCUAGACAAGACUUCCUUAUUAAAGGAACCCAUAAGAAUUAAUAGUUAUUUAGAAGAGGUACAGCCCUUCUAAAUCAAGAUACAACUUUUUAAGAUGGGAAAUGAUCAUAAUCAUUAAGGUUAUUCUCCUCAGUGGGCCUAAAAGCAGCCACCUGUAAAGCAAGCGUCGCAGCUCUAGCUUAACAACUAAACCUUUAAUUUUGAUACAUAUUCACCACCCCCUUUAUCCUAUUGGGUUAUUUUAUAAAAAUAUAAAAGAACUUAUGCUAAAAUGAGUAAUAAAGAGAACAAAUCUCUCCCGACACAAGUGUACAUCAGAAGAAUUAAAUCACUGAUAAUUAAACGGCCCCAAACUGAGGCCAUUAUAUCCCCUUAAUAUUAACUAGAAAACCCUAUUUUUUCACCCGUUA
rnacentral:rRNA from 1 species